CCCCAGGGUCCUCCAGGCCCUCAGGGACCCAAUGGACUCUCUAUUCCGGGAGAGCAAGGUCGCCAAGGGAUGAAAGGUGAUGCUGGAGAGCCAGGACUUCCAGGCCGAACAGGAACCCCAGGAUUACCUGGCCCACCAGGACCAAUGGGACCUCCAGGAGACAGAGGCUUCACUGGAAAAGACGGUGCAAUGGGACCCAGGGGCCCACCAGGGCCGCCGGGAAGCCCAGGCUCCCCAGGAGUCACAGGACCAAGUGGGAAGCCAGGAAAACCUGGAGAUCAUGGCAGACCAGGUCCAUCUGGGUUGAAAGGAGAAAAAGGUGAUAGGGGAGACAUUGCUUCCCAGAACAUGAUGCGAGCAGUUGCAAGACAAGUCUGUGAACAAUUGAUAAGUGGUCAGAUGAACAGAUUCAAUCAGAUGCUGAAUCAGAUUCCAAAUGAUUACCAGUCCAGUCGCAACCAGCCAGGCCCGCCGGGUCCACCGGGACCUCCUGGUAGCGCAGGAGCCAGAGGAGAACCUGGGCCUGGGGGGCGGCCAGGCUUCCCGGGCACACCAGGGAUGCAGGGACCCCCUGGGGAACGAGGUUUGCCAGGAGAGAAAGGUGAAAGGGGUACUGGAUCUUCAGGACCUCGGGGGCUGUCCACAAGGAGAAUCCAGAACAGGUCCACCAGGGUCCACAGGUUCAAGAGGUCCCCCUGGCCCCCCUGGCCGUCCUGGAAACUCAGGUAUCCGAGGACCCCCAGGUCCUCCUGGAUACUGUGAUUCUUCUCAGUGUGCCAGCAUCCCAUACAACGGGCAAGGCUAUCCAGGUUCCGGCUAACACAUUUUCUAAGUCGCCAGUGCUGCUUACAGUUUGAAUACAUGAAAAUCCUGUUUCUGAGAUGUUUGCGCACGUGCUUAUUAGGAAAUGAGUCUGUAUGGAAAUCUCACCACAGAUAAUGGUUAACGAACCGGGUCGACAUCACAAAGGAGGGUGGAGACUCUUUUUACUAACUUGAAUGAGACAAAAGCAGUGGUGUCAGUUUAUAAUCCUGAUGCAUUUCAGUAAUAAUGUAGAAAAACAUUAUUUUAAAAAAGUUCCAACACACAGCCAUGAGGAGCCUCAGUUUUGAAAGAGGUGCAUAAUAAAACUACUAACCAGAGGAGUCUAUGCCAUUUUAAGAAAAACAAUUAACCUGGUUAAAGAGAAAUGUCUUAUGUAAAUAAUAAACUAAU
rnacentral:lncRNA from 1 species